rnacentral:rRNA from 1 species
UACGUAGGGUGCGAGCGUUUGUCCGGAAUUACUGGGCGUAAAGAGCUCGUAGGUGGUUUGUCGCGUUGUUCGUGAAAACUCACAACUCAAUUGUGGGCGUGCGGGCGAUACGGGCAGACUGGAGUACUGCAGGGGAGACUGGAAUUCCUGGUGUAGCGGUGGAAUGCGCAGAUAUCAGGAGGAACACCGGUGGCGAAGGCGGCAUCCUGGACCGGCAUUGACGCUGAGGCGCGAAAGCCAGGGGAGCAAACGGGG